CUUGGCGUUCACUGCAAGCUAUAAGCUCUGCAAGUGGUACCCCCGACGUGAUCGCCUUGAAGUUACGCGUGAAGGAGGAGAGCUCAUUACUUUUCGGGGAAUCCUGAGAACAGGACCAGUCGUUGGAGAACCAACCAACAAUGAUGGUGAUGACUCGGAAGGCACCUGACAUUACCUGGGGACAGCUAAAGAAAUUGAAUCAACAAGCAUCUAUCCGGCUUGCCACUGUGGAAGCCCCUGCAACUGCAGACAAUCGGUUUCUUACAUAUCUGGCGGUAAUUGGGGAAACUUCUGAGAAAAUAAGACAGACAUGGAUGUUGGGGUGGCGGGCACUUGCAGAUGGCUCUGUGCUGCCACCCGACGCAUCUAUGACCAGGGAAGAAUCACGGAAGCUUACCUUGCACUGGAUGACCAGCACGCUGUAAGAAUUAAAGAAGGGGGGGAUAUGGGGGGUGCACGACAACAUAUUCAAGCUCAUGUACAAGGCGUCUGAGGUCGGGGCAUGGAAACAUACUGAGGCACUGUGUGUGUAUGUUAUUUGUGCAUGAGAAUGAAACUCCUUGACCCUGAAAACAGGACGGGAAGUGGAGUGUGUGGUGUGAUAAGGAACGCUGAAAACAGCCUCCCGAGAAUGCGGUUUGAGGGCUUUUACCAGGCCACAGGUGUCCCACGACCCGACCUCAAAAAGGCCAUCUAGUGGAUGUUUGUGGUUUAACAAGCCCUUUCAAUGAAGACUUGGCGGACAGACGCUGGGGCGGAGUCUCUUAGAAGAGCUGUCCCAGGCCCCCCUCAGCUGGAUUUGUCUGAGAACUCAUUCUUGGCGUUCACUGCAAGCUAUAAGCGCUGCAAUGGGCCCUGAAAAAAAAUAUCGAUACUACGAUGACUCCCAUAUGUAUUUCUUCAGCCCAGAGCCAGACCUUUGUCUACUCAACUUCUCCACGUGGAUACCUAAUAGGCAUCUCAAAUUUAAAUAUCCAAAACCAAACUCCUGACAUUAAACACAAGAAGCAAGAAAUAUGAACAUAUUUUCUGAUUCUACUAAUAUAAAAGUACAUGACAGUCAA